GAUGUGAGAGUGAUCCUGCUGUGACAUCUCUUACCCCACUGAUCACCAGGCUUGAUUCUUGGCUGAUCUGGAUGCCAGGCCUGUGCCCCUUCCUCCCUUAAACACUCAUCUGCCUCCCUCCCUAAGCUGCGCAUUCCUUUGGAGGGGUCAGCCUUCCCCGAUGGAGGAGGACCCUUCUUCGGUGAAGGCUGUACCAGUAGGUGGGCUCCCCUGCUAGUAGCUCCGAACAAGCCCUCAAACUGGAGAUCCUUGACUCGUCUCAAGGGCAGUGGGGUAGGAAAGUGAUGGGAGAUUUUAAAAAGAGUGCUUCCUUU
rnacentral:snRNA from 1 species